rnacentral:lncRNA from 1 species
GAGGCUUUUCUGUUUGCAUACUUUCAAGAGGCAUUCAUACAUGCAGUUCCUGUGUUGUCAUUCUGGACUUGCAUAGAGGGGACUGUGGCUUUCAGCUGGAUGUUGUAGAUACAAGGCCACAUUCUGCUUUGGCAUCGCUGCUGAUGUGCUCCCUCCCACUUUCCCAGGUGAUUUCAAAUAUAAUGUCUUAGUGGGGAAGCUUGGAGAGUUUGACUGUCAUGGUGAUGAUCGGAUUUUGAGCUGAAUCUCUGGCACUGUCUUUUUCUUGGUGCUCUGUUUAGAAAUUCUCACUUCUACAAUGCUGUAAUUUCUCACAAAAGUAUUGAAAAUUUAACUCAGAGAUUUUUUUUCAUUUUGAUUCAUAAAUGUUAUUGUAAGAAUUUAAAAUAAAAUUUGGAAUGGCCAGGAAAUGGUCUCAUUUCUGGCCAUAUGAGAUUUUGGUUUUCUUAUAUGAUGUCUAUAAAAGAGUAUAUGUUCUUAAUCUGUGCUUUCUCUUCUUUCCAGGGAGAAAACAGUAGAACACUUACAGUAAUUUAUUUUCUCUUCUCAUUUUGUUAAUGAUAUCUUUUUGAAGGCUAUGCAGUAAUUACUGCCCUCAGAGGUACACACUGAAAUAAAUUAAUGACCAAUGACCAAUAAUCAUUAAGAUGUAAUGAAAUAUAAGCAAAACCAGACACUAGGAACAGCGUUGGAAGCUUAAAACAAAUGGUGUUGAAAAGUGGUGUUAAACAAUGCUAACAAUAUUUUAGCAGUUGAUCAGAAAAAUAUAGUGAGUUCUCAUCUAAUCAUACAUUACAGAUUAUUAGUAAUUUUUCAUUUAUUUCAAACAAUUUUUUUUUUCAACAGGCUAAUAAAUGAACAGGCAAACAAACCUAUACAAGCCAUGGUUACUUUCAAGGAAAUCUACUUUAGAUUUGAUUCAUAGAAAAAUGCAAGUGAUGCGUGCCACUGAUUUGGGUCAUCUGCACGCAAUUCAAAAGGAAAAGGUGAUUUUUUUCAUUGCCUGCCAAGUAAGUGGGAGAGGUGUAGGUAAAAGUGGAUUUAUGCAUAAAACGCAAAACUCCAGAUGA